CACAUAUGUAAGAUAUCAGCAAGGUCACAGGGCUUGUGGCUCAUUCAAGGUGCUGCAGGGGCUCUGUCUGCUCUGACCUGGGCAGCCUUCCUGGCAAAAUGACACCACUUCUACUCCUGCUGGCCUUUCUGCUGCCUUUGAGGAUGGAAAAGGUGAGUGGCCAUCCUUAUUCCAGAGGUCUGAGCUCAUCCCACAAAAUCUUCUCCACUACUGACUUUUUGUUAGCUUUGGUCUGGAACCUUCACCUUGCUUUCACCCAGGAGUUUUCUAACCACAGAUCCAAUUCAAACCCAGACUUACAAUUCCAAAGCUGGCUGGACACAUUCCAGGGUUUCAAAAGAGGGUGUUCUCAAAUGAUUUAGUAUGUGUUAGCCUCUCCACAGAAUUUCCUGCAUUAUCCAGAAAUGAGUUGUCCUCAGAAAAACAUUUAAAAAACAAAAAUCAAGAACACAUAAAGCAGUGAAUGUGAAGCAACAAAAGUAAGUAAUUAAACUAUGUUACUCAAAACCAGAACAAGGCAGCUUAGAUCAACAGCUCAUGGGAGGUGGGUUUCACAGACCCAGUUGCACUAUCCAGUGACUACCACCCAGUCCCAGCUCUGAAGAGAAUCUAAGGGUUCAGCUAGACUCAGAGGUGGUAUGAUGAUUGCAUCCACUUUUCCAUUACCCUGGCUCCACCUUAGGUCUUUGCAGCUUCACUCUAAUGAUCUUUCCUACAUCUGCCUUGCUGGCUUUCCAUGUGGCCCCUGCCUUGGGUACUAUUCCCUCCUCCUAAAGUUUUAUUGCCCUCUAUGCCACCACACUACACUGGCCCAUCAAGCACUGAGGAACUUUGAUUAGACAUCAGAUAUACAGCCUAAAACAAUUCUUGAGAACACAAAAUAUUUUAGGCCUAGAUCAUCAUUUGAACGUGGGUUCAUAAUUCUAUAGGUAGAUUGUUAGAAAGUGCCACCAAUCCAGAAAAUAACAAAAGUUUAAACAGAUUUGUAAGUUUCAGUAAGAAAACAACAAUGAAGUCAGCUGCCCAGUGUCCUAUGAAACUCAACCAUCAGUCAUCCCACUUCCACGCAUUUGUUCCAGGUAGGAAGGAGAAGGCCAGAACUAUCCUGACUUUCUCAGAACAUUUGAGAUUUAGAAAAAGUCUGGCUUUGAUCAUGCAGCCUGCAGAAAUAAGAUAAGUACCCCCUGCAGGGUACAGAGCACUCCAGGUCUCACCAUCACCCCUCAUUUCCCCAAGUCUUCUUUCGUGACCACACUGCUCCCAGCCACCCCAUCUUAAGCUUUUCUUUCAGAGGAGGUCAUCGGGGGUCAGGAGGGUAAGCCCCAUUCCCAUCCCUAUACGGCCUUUGUCCAGUUCCUGGAUGGAGAGAAGAUGAAGAGGUGUGGUGGUGUCUUGGUGCAAAAGAGAUUUGUACUGACAGCUGCAUACUGCAAGCUCAAUAAGUGUCAUCCUGGUGGCCCACAAUAUCCAGAAGCAAGAGAAGACCCAGCAGGAGGACUCUGGGCUUCCCCUUGUGUGUAAUCACAUGAUCCAAGUCAUUUUCUGCCAUGCAAAAAAUGAUGGCAAUCUCCCAGGAGUCUUCAUGAAGGUCUCCCACUUUCUGCUUUGGAUAAAGAAGACCAUGGAGCAGUUCUAACAGCAGGCACAAGAUUGGCCUCCUCUGUGCCUCAUCAUCCUUACUGAGCCAUUAGAAAGACUGCCAUGAGCCCAGGCCACUGCACAGUGACAAUAAAUGGAUCUGAAGAAUGACUGUCCCUGAAGUCCUAUUUAUUCCCUGAACCCCAAUUAGCAUGAAGCUGCACUUCUGGCCAUU